CAGUAGCCGCGGUAAUACGAAGGGUGCAAGCGUUAAUCGGAAUUACUGGGCGUAAAGCGCGCGUAGGUGGUUUGGUAAGAUGGAUGUGAAAUCCCCGGGCUCAACCUGGGAACUGCAUCCAUAACUGCCUGACUAGAGUACGGUAGAGGGUGGUGGAAUUUCCUGUGUAGCGGUGAAAUGCGUAGAUAUAGGAAGGAACACCAGUGGCGAAGGCGACCACCUGGACUGAUACUGACACUGAGGUGCGAAAGCGUGGGGAGCAAACAGGAUUAGAUACCCCAGUAGUCCCUGUCUCUUAUAC
rnacentral:rRNA from 1 species